rnacentral:sRNA from 12 species
GGUUAGUGCAGUGAAUAAGGCAGUAAGUAAACGAUGAGUUUUUACUCUGGUUUUGCCGAUGAGUCGUCAUUGACCUAGUGUGACUCUGCCGAUAUAGAUUAGGCGCACUAACC